UGGGGAAUUUUGGACAAUGGGCGAAAGCCUGAUCCAGCAAUGCCGCGUGUGUGAAGAAGGCCUUCGGGUUGUAAAGCACUUUUGUCCGGAAAGAAAUCCUUGGCUCUAAUACAGUCGGGGGAUGACGGUACCGGAAAAUAGACACGCGUAACUACGUGCCAGCAGCCGCGGUAAUACGUAGGGUGCAAGCGUUAAUCGGAAUUACUGGGCGUAAAGCGUGCGCAGGCGGUUUGCUAAGACCGAUGUGAAAUCCCCGGGCUCAACCUGGGAACUGCAUUGGUGACUGGCAGGCUAGAGUAUGGCAGAGGGGGGUAGAAUUCCACGUGUAGCAGUGAAAUGCGUAGAGAUGUGGAGGAAUACCGAUGGCGAAGGCAGCCCCCUGGGCCAAUACUGACGCUCAUGCACGAAAGCGUGGGGAGCAAACAGGAUUAGAUACCCUGGUAGUCCACGCCCUAAAACGAUGUCAACUAGUUGUUGGGGAUUCAUUUCCUUAGUAACGUAGCUAACGCGUGAAGUUGACCGCCUGGGGGAGUACGGUCGCAAGAUUAAAAACUUAAAUGGAAUUGACGGGGUCAUAGCUG
rnacentral:rRNA from 1 species